AGAGUUUGAUCCUGGCUCAGAACGAACGCUGGCGGCAGGCCUAACACAUGCAAGUCGAGCGCACUCUUCGGAGUGAGCGGCGGACGGGUUAGUAACGCGUGGGAAUAUACCCUUCUCUAAGGAAUAGCCUCGGGAAACUGAGAGUAAUACCUUAUACGCCCUUCGGGGGAAAGAUUUAUCGGAGAGGGAUUAGCCCGCGUAAGAUUAGAUAGUUGGUGGGGUAAUGGCCUACCAAGUCUACGAUCUUUAGCUGGUUUUAGAGGAUGAUCAGCAACACUGGGACUGAGACACGGCCCAGACUCCUACGGGAGGCAGCAGUGGGGAAUCUUGGACAAUGGGCGCAAGCCUGAUCCAGCCAUGCCGCGUGAGUGAUGAAGGCCUUAGGGUCGUAAAGCUCUUUCGCCAGGGAUGAUAAUGACAGUACCUGGUAAAGAAACCCCGCUAACU
rnacentral:rRNA from 1 species